UCCGGCGAACAUAUUAAAGUGGUCACACCUGUUACCAUCCCGAACACAGUAGUUAAGCGCUUUAAGCCGAUGAUAGUACUGCAAGUGCGAAAGUAGGUACCGCCGGAU
rnacentral:rRNA from 1 species